GACGAACGCUGGCGGCGUGCUUAACACAUGCAAGUCGAACGGAAAGGCCUGCUUUCCCUUGUGGAUUGCGGGUACUCGAGUGGCGAACGGGUGAGUAACACGUGAGUGAUCUGCCCCCAACUUGGGUAUAAGCCUGGGAAACUGGGUCUAAUUCCCGAUAGGACUGCAGGGUGGUGCCUGUGGUGGAAAACGAUUUUCUAGUGGUUGGGGAUGAGCUCGCGGCCUAUCAGCUUGUUGGUGGGGUAAUGGCCUACCAAGGCGGCGACGGGUAGCCGGCCUGAGAGGGUGGACGGCCACAUUGGGACUGAGAUACGGCCCAGACUCCUACGGGAGGCAGCAGUGGGGAAUAUUGCACAAUGGGCGGAAGCCUGAUGCAGCGACGCCGCGCGGGGGAUGACGGCCUUCGGGUUGUAAACUCCUUUCGACCGCGAGGAAGCCACCUGGUUGGAAGGGUGGUGACGGUAGUGGUAGAAGAAGCACCGGCUAACUACGUG
rnacentral:rRNA from 1 species